ACACACACACACACACACACACACACACACACACACACACAUUUCCUCUAUCACACUACUCAGUGUGCACAGUCUUAGACACGUUUAUACACAUACCGCUGUGGUUCUUCAUACUGCACUCAUCAGGGCUCGAACAAAAUGGUGACAGUAAACGAAGACAUGCCGGUGUUAGUGGUGUUCAGCAGUGUGUGUACUCUCUUUGUUCUCAUCGCUUCCACACUCUGGACAUGUUGGAAGAUAAGAAGAGCCAUGCAGACAGAAGCACCGAAGACAUACACAAUGUAUACGGAGGACACAACGGACGAGCUAAAAGAGAAUAUCAAUGAAGAGGAGGAAGGCGCCCUCUCAUGGAUGGCAGAGGACAGUCUAAAGGAGCAAAAAACGGAAGAGAAUGAUGAUGAUGACGAUGACGAUGGUGAUGACGAUGAUGAUGGUGAUGAUGGUGAUAAUGGUGAUGAUGGUGGAAGGUCUUAGCUCAGUGGUUAAGAUUUUGCACUUUUGAUCAAAAGGUUGUGAGUUCAAAUCUCAGUACCACCAGGUUGCCACUGUGGGCCCCAGAGCAAGGCCCCUAACCAUCACCUGCUCAGUAGUAGAAAUGAGAUUGUAAGUGGCUCUGGAUACGGCCAUCUGCCACAAUGCAAUACAUGUAAAUAAUGAUGAUAAUGAAGAGGUGAAACUGACACUGGAUUUAUAUGUACAAAAAUAAACUUUAUUAUAUAAUUAUAUAAAGUUGUAGAAAAAAAGCAUUUAAAUAAUUUAUUUUAAUUAUUUAAUAGCAUCCAAUAAAAUUUUAUAAUAUUAUUA